rnacentral:rRNA from 1 species
UACGAAGGGGGCUAGCGUUGUUCGGAAUUACUGGGCGUAAAGGGCGCGUAGGCGGUCAGCACAAGUCAAUUGUGAAAUCUCCGAGCUUAACUCGGAAAGGUCAACUGAAACUGUGCGACUAGAGUGCGGAAGGGGCAACUGGAAUUCUUGGUGUAGCGGUGAAAUGCGUAGAUAUCAAGAGGAACACCUGCGGCGAAGGCGGGUUGCUGGGCCGACACUGACGCUGAAGCGACGAAAGCCAGGGGAGCGAACGGG